CAUAGGUUAAUGAGGCGAACCGGGGGAACUGAAACAUCUAAGUACCCCGAGGAAAAGAAAUCAACCGAGAUUCCCCCAGUAGCGGCGAGCGAACGGGGAGGAGCCCAGAGCCUGAAUCAGUGUGUGUGUUAGUGGAAGCGUCUGGAAAGGCGCGCGAUACAGGGUGACAGCCCCGUACACAAAAAUGCACAUAUUGUGAGCUCGAUGAGUAGGGCGGGACACGUGGUAUCCUGUCUGAAUAUGGGGGGACCAUCCUCCAAGGCUAAAUACUCCUGACUGACCGAUAGUGAACCAGUACCGUGAGGGAAAGGCGAAAAGAACCCCGGCGAGGGGAGUGAAAAAGAACCUGAAACCGUGUACGUACAAGCAGUGGGAGCCUCUUAAUGGGGUGACUGCGUACCUUUUGUAUAAUGGGUCAGCGACUUAUAUUCUGUAGCAAGGUUAACCGAAUAGGGGAGCCGAAGGGAAACCGAGUCUUAACUGGGCGUUAAGUUGCAGGGUAUAGACCCGAAACCCGGUGAUCUAGCCAUGGGCAGGUUGAAGGUUGGGUAACACUAACUGGAGGACCGAACCGACUAAUGUUGAAAAAUUAGCGGAUGACUUGUGGCUGGGGGUGAAAGGCCAAUCAAACCGGGAGAUAGCUGGUUCUCCCCGAAAGCUAUUUAGGUAGCGCCUCGUGAAUUCAUCUCCGGGGGUAGAGCACUGUUUCGGCAAGGGGGUCAUCCCGACUUACCAACCCGAUGCAAACUGCGAAUACCGGAGAAUGUUAUCACGGGAGACACACGGCGGGUGCUAACGUCCGUCGUGAAGAGGGAAACAACCCAGACCGCCAGCUAAGGUCCCAAAGUCAUGGUUAAGUGGGAAACGAUGUGGGAAGGCCCAGACAGCCAGGAUGUUGGCUUAGAAGCAGCCAUCAUUUAAAGAAAGCGUAAUAGCUCACUGGUCGAGUCGGCCUGCGCGGAAGAUGUAACGGGGCUAAACCAUGCACCGAAGCUGCGGCAGCGACACUAUGUGUUGUUGGGUAGGGGAGCGUUCUGUAAGCCUGUGAA
rnacentral:rRNA from 1 species